AUUUCAUAACAAUAAAUUUUUAUUAUACAAAAUACAUUUCAUAAUUUUUGUUCACGUGAACCAACAUGUUUGUUAUCUCCCCUUACCAACCAAGUUAACUAUAAUGGUGAAGAAGAAUGUCUUUAAAAUUUAACUGCAGUAUCAUUUUCUUAAACCUGAUAAUAUAUACAUAAAAGUGUUUCUACCUUGUAAAUACAUAAAUGGGACAUUGUUAGGUUCAAGUUUUGAAAAACAACUAACAAAUACCACUGAAACCAAGCAUUAGUCCUGACUGUAUACAAUUGAUCAUUUUCAAUACACCAUAUAACUUGUAUUACUAACAUUGUGAUGGUUUUAAAAAGAUUAAACCAACAAAACCAACAAGAUAGAGAAGUGUAGCAUAAAACUAAAGUGAAAAAAAAACAAAAAAAAAACCAGAACAAAGAUAAAAAACUUAGUUCUUUCCCAAACUAUUUGUUAAAAGUCUCACCAAAUAGAAUCAAUUUUAAUCAUGUCUUUACAUACAUGUACAAUUUGAAAUCCAUGCAAGCAGGGACGUAGCUAGGAAUUUUCCAUCGUUUGGGGACGGGGGGGGGGGGG